rnacentral:rRNA from 1 species
CCAUGCAANUCGAACGAUGAAGCAGAGCUUGCUCUGUGGAUUAGUGGCGAACGGGUGAGUAACACGUGAGUAACCUGCCCUUGACUCUGGGAUAAGCACUGGAAACGGUGUCUAAUACCGGAUACGACCCUCGGAGGCAUCUCCAGGGGGUGGAAAGAAUUUCGGUCAAGGAUGGACUCGCGGCCUAUCAGCUAGUUGGUGAGGUAAUGGCCCACCAAGGCGACGACGGGUAGCCGGCCUGAGAGGGUGACCGGCCACACUGGGACUGAGACACGGCCCAGACUCCUACGGGAGGCAGCAGUGGGGAAUAUUGCACAAUGGGCGCAAGCCUGAUGCAGCAACGCCGCGUGAGGGACGAAGGCCUUCGGGUUGUAAACCUCUUUUAGUAGGGAAGAAGCGAAAGUGACGGUACCUGCAGAAAAAGCACCGGCUAACUACGUGCCAGCAGCCGCGGUAAUACGUAGGGUGCAAGCGUUAUCCGGAAUUAUUGGGCGUAAAGAGCUCGUAGGCGGUUUGUCGCGUCUGCUGUGAAAACUGGGGGCUCAACCCCCAGCCUGCAGUGGGUACGGGCAGACUAGAGUGCGGUAGGGGAGAUUGGAAUUCCUGGUGUAGCGGUGGAAUGCGCAGAUAUCAGGAGGAACACCAAUGGCGAAGGCAGAUCUCUGGGCCGUAACUGACGCUGAGGAGCGAAAGCAUGGGGAGCGAACAGGAUUAGAUACCCUGGUAGUCCAUGCCGUAAACGUUGGGAACUAGAUGUAGGGUCCAUUCCACGGAUUCUGUGUCGCAGCUAACGCAUUAAGUUCCCCGCCUGGGGGAGUACGGCCGCAAGGCU